CGAAAAAUUCACAUUGUGUUCGGCUCAUUUAUUAACUAGCCGAACACAAGCCAAAUACGAGCUCGCUCAUGAAUAAUAAUUUAAAAGAAUUAUGAAAUAUACGUAUAGAAAAUAAAUUUAUGAGAUUUUAUUAAAUUUAUGAGAUUUUAUUAAUUUAACUUUAAUCUAAUAGUUGAAACAUUACAUAUAAAUAAUAUUUUUAUAAUUGAGUUGGGCUUUAUAUUUAGGUUAAAUAAUAAAAAUUUAUAUUAUAUAUAUAAUUAUUUAUUUAUAUAUAUAAAUAUAAAAUAUAUGUAUUCGAGUUGUUAUCGAGCCGAACACAAACGAGCUGAUCUCGGCUCAUUUAUUAAACGAAUUGAAAAAUUCAACUCAAGUUCAGCUCGUUUAUUAAACGAGCGAUUCAAUCUCAAACUCAUUUUGAACCGAACACAAGCUGAUUUGCGAACAACGAAUUGAAAUGCCAACCCUACUUGGGAUGGGGCCUUGCCAUGUGCCAAGUAAAUUGCACGGUCUAAAAACACACUAUUUAAAACUCAUCUUAUUUAAUUAGGCAAAUAUGAUGCGUUCCCCUCAAAAUUUAAAAAAUACCAUAAAUAUUCUUUAAAAUUGCUAAUAUAAAUAUUAUCUCGAGCUAGGCUGGUAUACUAUCGGUAGCACGGAGGCCUUCGUACUAUCAAGUUGUUUUCAAUGAUGUAGCUUCCAAAUCGACGAUCGGCUUCUUUAGACUUGAUCUACACUAUUGAAAGUAUUGAAAAACUAAAUUUUAUAAUCUUUCGACAUUAUUUACCUAUCAAACGAGUAAUCUAAAAAUGAACGGCUGAAAAUAAAAAUCUCAUAAAAAAUGAUGAUAAAAAACUUAAAUUUAUAGAUAUUGAUCUUAUUCUAAAUAGUGAAAAAAAAUUCUAUAAAAAUUUUAUCAGAUUUGAAUUAUUUUAUACCGUUAAAUUCAUAAACGAAUCACAUCGACCAUUAAAGUUGUCAAUUUUGAUACCUUUUGAUCAUUAACCAACACAUCCAAUGUGUCGAUUAAAUCACGGAUCGUAAUUAUUCCGAAAAAUA
rnacentral:lncRNA from 1 species